AUUGAACGCUGGCGGCAGGCUUAACACAUGCAAGUCGAGCGGGGAAAGGUAGCUUGCUACCUAACCUAGCGGCGGACGGGUGAGUAAUGCUUAGGAAUCUGCCUAUUAGUGGGGGACAACAUUCCGAAAGGAAUGCUAAUACCGCAUACGCCCUACGGGGGAAAGCAGGGGAUCUUCGGACCUUGCGCUAAUAGAUGAGCCUAAGUCAGAUUAGCUAGUUGGUGGGGUAAAGGCCUACCAAGGCGACGAGCUGUAGCGGGUCUGAGAGGAUGAUCCGCCACACUGGGACUGAGACACGGCCCAGACUCCUACGGGAGGCAGCAGUGGGGAAUAUUGGACAAUGAGCGAAAGCCUGAUCCAGCCAUGCCGCGUGUGUGAAGAAGGCCUUUUGGUUGUAAAGCACUUUAAGCGAGGAAGAGGCUACUUGGAUUAAUACUCUAGGAUAGUGGACGUUACUCGCAGAAUAAGCACCGGCUAACUCUGUGCCAGCAGCCGCCGUAAUAC
rnacentral:rRNA from 1 species